CCUUGAUCCAGCCGGACGGGAUCUGUACGCUCCGGAUGAUUUCGUGCGACGGAAAGCCAGGAAGCCGGUGCGAGUCCGGCACGGUCCCGCCACUGUGACCGGGGAGCAGAACCCUGGGAAGGCCGACCGAUCGCCACGGAGCCGGCACGGCCCGCGCUCCGCUGGCCGAUCGGGGAGCCGGACCCGCGAUGGCCACGGCCCGCGAGGGCUGGAAGGCCGGGGGAAGCGAUGAUCCGGGAGUCAGGACACUGGCCCGUCGCUGCCGAUCCAG
rfam:Streptomyces thermoautotrophicus strain H1 H1_chromosome, whole genome shotgun sequence.